ACAGCGAUCGCUGUGUGCGGUGACGGAAGGCUGACGUAGGGACGCAGUGGGCGGAGCUUGGAGGCUGUGUGCGGUCCGACCGCACACAGGGCCCGUGAACAGCCCUCGUUCGUUUGAAAAUAUCGGUUGCGGAGAAGAUGCUGGAUUUUGUUAAUUUCGAUUCAUCAUAAGUGUGGCACGAUUGAUGGGAGUUGUUCAUUUUUAAUGUCACAUUGCCGAGGGAAGGCUGCCUGAUGCGAAUAGGUGUACCCUAACCCAUGUUUGACAAUGGGCAAUGUUGAACCAGAGGAAUGUUCUGGGCUGCUCUCUGCAAGAUCUUCAGACCAGUCAUCCCUAGGGCUAAUCAAACUAGACUCAGUUGCUGGCUUGUCAGGCUGUCUGCUGGAGGAUGACUCGCUGCCCUCGACACGACCAGCACUCUCUCCUGUGAAGGAGACUGAGCCACAGACCUCUGCCGCAGCUCCUGGGCGGCCCCAGUUACGGCAUGCUCAGCUUUGAAGAGGCCGUCUCCGAAAACGGACUGGACAACACGGGCUACGAUGACGCAUUGGACGCCACAUUCAGCGAGGGAGAAUGCACAG